AGCUAACAAGAAAUACUUGAUGGAAGAUAUAACAAGGGUUCCUGAUGUUAAAUUAUUGGGAUUGGGCAUAACAGCAUGUGGACAUUCCUUUGGAGCCAGCUUAUUUCAUGUUCUGCGGAUGUGUACUGCAAUAAGAAGGCUGAAUCUUGGUCUUAUCGUCGCACCUGAACACGAGGCAGAAACUGUGUGCCCAUCAGGUUGUAUAUGUGAUCAGCCGCCAAGCUGGAAAACCAGGGAACUCGUGUUGAAUUGCCUCGAAGAAGUAGAAAUAUUUGACUUGAAAGGAAGUGAGCAUGAAAUCAGUGUUGUGAAUCGUCUAUUCAGUUGGGCACCGGUGCUAAAAAGGAUGACAGUAAAUUUCCAUUACUCGGUCACGGAAAACAAAGCUGAAGAGCUCUGCCAAGUGUUACUAACCUUUUCCAGGCCGGAAAUAUGUAUGAUUUGUAGGAUGCCCAACAUGUCGGAGAAAGUUUUGCAUGCUUAACAAGACACCAAUUUUUCCCCAGUAUCCAUUGAUUGUCAGUUGGGCGAGCAGCUUAUGUGAGACUGGACUAAACUAGUUUAAACUGUAGCGACAAUCUUCAUGUGCGUGUAGCUAGCUGCUAGUUUCCCUCUCCAUGAUUUAUGGUUUGAUACUCAUAUGCUUGGUAUGCA